rnacentral:tRNA from 1 species
UCCCUGGUGGCUCAGAUGGUAAAGCAUCUGCCCGCAAUGCUGGAGACCUAGGUUUGAUCCCUAGGUUGGGAA